UACGUAGGGUGCGAGCGUUAAUCGGAAUUACUGGGCGUAAAGCGUGCGCAGGCGGCGCGUUAAGACAGGUGUGAAAGCCCCGAGCUUAACUUGGGAAUUGCGCUUGUGACUGGCGUGCUGGAGUGUGGCAGAGGGAGGUGGAAUUCCACGUGUAGCAGUGAAAUGCGUAGAUAUCGGGAGGAACACCAGUGGCGAAGGCGGCAUCCUGGCCAUGUACUGACGCUCAGGGGCGAAAGCGUGGGGAGCAAACAGG
rnacentral:rRNA from 1 species